GAUGAAGAACGCAGUGAAAUGCGAUAAGUAAUGUGAAUUGCAGAAUUCAGUGAAUCAUCGAAUCUUUGAACGCACCUUGCACCCUUUGGCAUUCCGAAGGGUAUGCUCGUUUGAGUGUCAUUGUACUCUCACACUUCCGAUCUUUGGAUUGGGAGCGGUGGACUUGGGUGUUGCUGCUUACUGUGGCUCACCUCAAAUCGAUUCGUGCACCUCUUGGUUGGACAUAGUACGGCGUGAUAAGUGUCUUCGCCGGCACCUCAGUAGAGGGUGGCUGAUCGGGAGCUCUGUGCUUCAAACCGUCCUCGGACAACAACUGACAACUUGACCUCAAAUCGAGUAGGACUACCCGCUGAACUUAAGCAUAUCAAUAAGCGGAGGA
rnacentral:misc_RNA from 1 species